AUACGUAGGGAGCGAGCGUUGUCCGGAAUUACUGGGUGUAAAGGGAGCGUAGGCGGGAGUGCAAGUCAGAUGUGAAAUCUCCGGGCUCAACCCGGAAAUUGCAUUUGAAACUGCAGGUCUUGAGUAUCGGAGAGGCAAGCGGAAUUCCUAGUGUAGCGGUGAAAUGCGUAGAUAUUAGGAGGAACACCAGUGGCGAAGGCGGCUUGCUGGACGACAACUGACGCUGAGGCGCGAAAGCGUGGGGAGCAAACAGGAUUAGAUACCCUGGUAGUCCACGCCCUAAACGAUGAAUACUAGGUGUGGGGGGACUGACCCCUUCCGUGCCGGAGUAAACACAAUAAGUAUUCCACCUGGGGAGUACGACCGCAAGGUUGAAACUUAAAGGAAUUGACGGGG
rnacentral:rRNA from 1 species